AUUAAUAUGUAACCAAAAUCUGGAUGCAUAUCCUUAUUCCCUAAGCAAACCCCAGGGUAAUAAUAAUCUCUUGAUUUAAGUGUGGUCAGCAUCCCUUAUUCAUGUAUCUCUGCAAGUAGGUGGAUGAAAAAGCGGAGAGAGAGGAUGAGAGGGAGAGCAAGAGGCAGGGAAUAGGAUUUUCCAUGGUGAAGAAGAAAGGGGAAGGA
rnacentral:lncRNA from 1 species